rnacentral:lncRNA from 1 species
AUCAUUUCUUUCAAACAGAACUCAAACAGUACUUUUAGAACACAUGUCAUCUUCAAAAAUACCAGUCACUUCAGGUGUGCCACAUGGUACAUUGCUAGGACCUAUACUCUUCCUUUUUUUGCAUAAAUGACCUUCCGGAAUACAUCAAACAUAGCAAAAUUAGACUCUUCGCAGAUGACAGUAUAAUUUACAGACAAAUUAAAUCUCAAAACGACUGCCUCAAGCUUCAAGAAGAUCUAGAAGCUGCCAUACAAUGGGAGCAAGACUGGCUCAUGUCUUUCCACCCAGACAAAUGCAACACAAUGAACAUAACAACAAAGAAAACUCCCAUCCACUUCUACUAAGGCAUGUAUGGGCACAUAUUAGAAUCAGUAAAACAUGCUAAAUACUUAGGUAUUACAAUAUCUUCAGAUUUAAAAUGGAACACCCACAUUCAACAAACAGCCGCCAAAGCAAACAAAUCUUUAUAUUUUAUCAGAAGCAAUUUCAAAGUCCAGUCACAUAAAAUAAAAGAAAGAGCAUACCAAACCAUCAUCAGACCCAAAUUAGAAAACUGCUGUACUGUUUGGGACAAGCGAAAACAUACGAUCAUUAGAAAAUGUACGGAGAUGAGCAGCAAUGUAUGCAUGUAACAGACAUCACAACACAAGCAGUGUGUCUGAGAUGUUAGACACCAUGACAUGGCAAACAUUACAAGAACGCCGGCUAAGAACAAGGCUAAUAAUGUUUCACAAAAUUACAAACGAAAAUAUUGCCAUUCCUUCACAAAAUUUAUUAAAAAAGAGUCAGUCCAACACAAGAUCCACCAACAAAGAUGCCUACAGACAAAUCCAAUGUAACAAGGACAGCUACAAAUUUUCUUUCUUUUGUCAAACAAUUAAAGACUGGAACAAAUUAUCCUCAGUCAUAACACAAAACACUACCACAGAAACCUUCAAGGAUGCACUCACGCACGAUGUGCUCCUUGGUACAUAUCCACACAUGAAGUAAUCAGGCAA